AUUGAACGCUGGCGGAAUGCUUUACACAUGCAAGUCGAACGGUAGAGGGGGCAACCCCUUGAGAGUGGCGAACGGGUGAGUAAUAUAUCGGAACGUGCCCAGUCGUGGGGAUAACGUAGCGAAAGUUACGCUAAUACCGCAUACGAUCUAAGGAUGAAAGCGGGGGAUCGCAAGACCUCGCGCGAUUGGAGCGGCCGAUAUCAGAUUAGGUAGUUGGUGAGGUAAAGGCUCACCAAGCCAACGAUCUGUAGCUGGUCUGAGAGGACGAUCAGCCACACUGGGACUGAGACACGGCCCAGACUCCUACGGGAGGCAGCAGUGGGGAAUUUUGGACAAUGGGCGCAAGCCUGAUCCAGCAAUGCCGCGUGCAGGAUGAAGGCC
rnacentral:rRNA from 1 species